rnacentral:rRNA from 1 species
CAGCCGCCGCGGUAAUACGUAGGGUGCGAGCGUUAAUCGGAAUUACUGGGCGUAAAGCGUGCGCAGGCGGCUGUGUAAGACAGGUGUGAAAUCCCCGGGCUUAACCUGGGAACUGCGCUUGUGACUGCACAGCUAGAGUAUGGCAGAGGGGGGUGGAAUUCCACGUGUAGCAGUGAAAUGCGUAGAGAUGUGGAGGAACACCGAUGGCGAAGGCAGCCCCCUGGGCCAAUACUGACGCUCAUGCACGAAAGCGUGGGGAGCAAACAGGAUUAGAUACCCGAGAGUCCCUGUCUCUUAUACA